GUGCUGUUCUCGUGAUAGUGAAUAAGUUUCAGGAGAUCUGAUGAUUUAUCAGGGGUUUCCACUUCUGCUUCUUCCUUAUUUUUCUCUUGCUGUCAUCAUGUAAGAAGUGCCUUUUGCCUCCCACCAAGAUUCUGAGGCCUCCUCAGCCUUGUGGAACUGACACUCCAUGCUUUCCAGAAACACAAGUGAAGUUUAAUAGAGAUAAAACCAUUCCACUGGUGCUGCUAUGAUCAAGAAGCUACAAUCAAUCUUGUUUUCUUCAAGCAUGUCAUAAAAAGACCCUUUUCCUUCUGAUUAGCAUUCUUGAACACAGUACAAGCUGAUGACUUGCUUGAAGUCAUUCACUGUAGGGAUACAGCACCUACUGCACGUGAUAAAACGACAUAAGGCAUAUGAACUGCUCAUUACAAUCUAAUUAGUUUGGGCUUCUCAUUUCAUUUUAUGUCCUGAAUUGAACCUGAUUCAAUAUGAUUCUGCGCUGGAGUUCAUCAUAUCUUCUCCCUGGCAUGCAAGUUCAUGAUGCCUGCUUGCUAGAUUCCAUGGUUAUAGAAAUGGUUUCUCUUUUUUUUUCAGGGACUGGUUAGAUAGAAGGUCAUUAAUAAAACAUCAGAAGCCUUUCCUAUUAUUUUUUUCCUCUGCGAGAUUUUGAUUUGACUUAGCACACAGCACCGUUUUUAAAGUAUUUCAAGAAGGU
rnacentral:lncRNA from 10 species